rnacentral:rRNA from 1 species
AUUGAACGCUGGCGGCAGGCCUAACACAUGCAAGUCGAACGAGAGGCGGACGGGUGAGUAAUGUCUGGGAAACUGCCUGAUGGAGGGGGAAAACUACUGGAAAGGGUAGCUAAUAAUGCAUACCAUCAGAUGUGCCCAGAUGGGAUUAGCUAGUCGGUGGGGUAACGGCUCACCAAGGCGACGAUCCCUAGCUGGUCUGAGAGGAUGACCGGCCACACUGGAAAUGAGACACGGCCCAGAAUCCUACGGGAGGCAGCAGUGGGGAAGAUUGCGCAAUGGGCGAAAGCCUGAUGCAGCCAUGCCGCGUGUGUGAAUAAGGCCUUCGUGUUGUAAAGUACUUUCAGCGGGGAGGCGUUACCCGCAGAUAAAGCACCGGCUAACUCCGUGCCAGCAGCCGCGGUAAUAC